AUAAGGUUAAGUUAAUAAGGGCGCACGGUGGAUGCCUUGGCACUAGAAGCCGAAGAAGGACGUGACUAACGACGAAAUGCUUUGGGGAGCUGUAAGUAAGCGCUGAUCCAGAGAUGUCCGAAUGGGGGAACCCGGCAUGUAAUGCAUGUCAUCCAUGACUGUUAAGGUCAUGAGAAGGAAGACGCAGUGAACUGAAACAUCUAAGUAGCUGCAGGAAGAGAAAGCAAAAGCGAUUGCCUUAGUAGCGGCGAGCGAAACGGCAGGAGGGCAAACCGAGGAGUUUACUCCUCGGGGUUGUAGGACUGCGACGUGGGACUAAAAUUAAUAGAAGAAUUACCUGGGAAGGUAAGCCAAAGAGAGUAAAAGCCUCGUAUUUAAAAUUGAAAUUAGCCCUAGCAGUAUCCUGAGUACGGCGAGACACGCGAAAUCUCGUCGGAAUCUGGGAGGACCAUCUCCCAACCCUAAAUACUCUCUAGUGACCGAUAGUGAACCAGUACCGUGAGGGAAAGGUGAAAAGCACCCCGGGAGGGGAGUGAAAUAGAACCUGAAACCGUGUGCCUACAACAAGUUCGAGCCCGUUAAUGGGUGAGAGCGUGCCUUUUGUAGAAUGAACCGGCGAGUUACGAUAUGAUGCGAGGUUAAGUUGAAGAGACGGAGCCGUAGGGAAACCGAGUCUUAAUAGGGCGACAUAGUAUCAUGUUGUAGACCCGAAACCAUGUGACCUACCCAUGAGCAGGUUGAAGGUGCGGUAAAACGCACUGGAGGACCGAACCAGGGCACGUUGAAAAGUGCUUGGAUGACUUGUGGGUAGCGGAGAAAUUCCAAACGAACUUGGAGAUAGCUGGUUCUCUCCGAAAUAGCUUUAGGGCUAGCGUCGAUGUUAAGUCUCUUGGAGGUAGAGCACUGUUUGGGUGAGGGGUCCAUCCCGGAUUACCAAUCUCAGAUAAACUCCGAAUGCCAAGACGAUAUAAUCGGCAGUCAGACUGCGAGUGCUAAGAUCCGUAGUCGAAAGGGAAACAGCCCAGACCACCAGCUAAGGUCCCAAAAUAAUUGUUAAGUGGAAAAGGAUGUGGGGUUGCACAGACAACUAGGAUGUUAGCUUAGAAGCAGCUAUUCAUUCAAAGAGUGCGUAAUAGCUCACUAGUCGAGUGACCCUGCGCCGAAAAUGUACCGGGGCUAAAACAAUUUACCGAAGCUGUGGAUUACCUUAAGAGGUAAUGGUAGGAGAGCGUUCUAUAUGUGAAGAAGGUAUACCGUGAGGAGUGCUGGAACGUAUAGAAGUGAGAAUGCCGGUAUGAGUAGCGAAAGACAGGUGAGAAUCCUGUCCACCGUAAGACUAAGGUUUCCAGGGGAAGGCUCGUCCGCCCUGGGUUAGUCGGGACCUAAGGAGAGACCGAAAGGUGUAUUCGAUGGCCAACAGGUUGAUAUUCCUGUACUAGUGUAUAUAGUGAUGGAGGGACGCAGAAGGCUAACUAAACCAGACGACUGGAAGAGUCUGGCCAAUCAGUGAGGCGUGAUAUGAGUCAAAUGCUUAUAUCUAUAACGUUGAGCUGUGAUGGGGAGCGAAUUAAGUAGCGAAGUUAGUGAUGUCACACUGCCAAGAAAAGCUUCUAGCGUUUAAGUAUACACUACCCGUACCGCAAACCGACACAGGUAGUCGAGGCGAGUAGCCUCAGGUGAUCGAGAGAACUCUCGUUAAGGAACUCGGCAAAAUGACCCCGUAACUUCGGGAGAAGGGGUGCUGUCAGCGAUGACAGCCGCAGUGAAUAGGCCCAAGCAACUGUUUAUCAAAAACACAGCUCUCUGCUAAAUCGUAAGAUGAUGUAUAGGGGGUGACGCCUGCCCGGUGCUGGAAGGUUAAGAGGAGUGCUUAGCGUAAGCGAAGGUAUGAAUUGAAGCCCCAGUAAACGGCGGCCGUAACUAUAACGGUCCUAAGGUAGCGAAAUUCCUUGUCGGGUAAGUUCCGACCCGCACGAAAGGCG
rnacentral:rRNA from 1 species